rnacentral:lncRNA from 1 species
AUAUUGUUUAAUAUUAAUAUUGAUCUAAACCCGUUGCACCAUAUAACCCCGUCCCGUAAAAUUAAACAUCAUUUGUUAUUUUUUUUGAAUAAUAUUUUUAUCCACUAUGGGUUGCAGGUUCAUGCGGAUAAGCCCGUAGAGAGUUGCGGGUUUGCGGAUCCACCCGCCAAAAGAGAAGCUAUCUUUUGAAACCCUUUGUUUUGUUUAGAGGUUUUAAGAAAAUAUUAAAUAUCCCUAAAAAAUAAUUUUCAUUAUAUGAAAAAAAGAAAUAGAAGAAAUUGUAGUAUCAACAUUUCCGAUUUUUACAUCACUUUUUUUUUUUGUCAUCUGGAUUUAUUAUUUAUUGCAAAUUCUGAGAACUGUUACAAUUAAUUUUUUUUUUUGCAGAUAAAAAUCAGAAGUUAACUAAGUCGAGAUUUUUAAAAAGAUUGUGUAGAGAUUUUUGGUAAAUUGUUGAGAACA